rnacentral:lncRNA from 1 species
AGCUGUAGGAUCCAGCAGUAUUACUCUCAAUGCGAGUGAUGUUUGUUUCAACACAUAUUCCAAAGCCAUAAUGAUUGUAUUGUAUUGCACUCCUAAAAAGGGGAUCGGUUAACCCACUGUUCAAUUUGGGUGCAUAAUGAUUGAAACGGACUGAAUCCUUACAAAACCAAUGGCAAAGUCAUUGAAAUGUAUGCAGAAGAUGAAGCAACAGACUGAACCGGAAGAAGAUAUCGGCGGCGGCCUUCAUGACGUAGUCGUACAACUCGUUGGCCCGCCACCAUCGAAAGGAACGAGUACAUCUUGCCGCCGUUGAGGUUCUCCUCGAACCCGUCGAGGAUGAUCACGUCGUUGUGGUGAGGAUCCGAGCAGCACCAUCUCGCGCUGGUCGUCCUUCUACAGCCGGCGGAAGACGAAGCGGUACCCCCAGCACGAGCUAGAGCCCGUACACCAUGCACAGCAGGUGGCGGCGCUCGCACAGGUCCGCGCGGGUGAGCGUGCCAAUGAGCAGCCAGAAGUCAACUUCCGGACCAUGGCCGGCUCCGCGAGGCGCGAGGAGGCCGCCUCACCGGUCCACCAGGCCGCGCCGCCAUUGGACCCGUUGACUGCCUUGGCUCGACGAGGACGGUGAUGGAACCAUCUUGCUCCAGCCACCGAGGAUCACCGCGUCAUGCAUGCAAAUCGGGCGAUAGAAGCUAACUGGAAAACCAUGAAUUUCUCUAACAAUCUGUGUGCAUGCAAAUUGGAAAUCGGAGUGGGGUACAGGUGGGGGCUAACCUGCCGAUUGCCGGCGGAGGGACGCCCAGGGACGGGCCAGUGAGAUGGGUCGGAACCAUCAUUAGACCCAUCGUUGAUCCGGACUGCUGAUCCAUCGUUUUGGAUUGGAAUCGCCUGGAACCACCUCGGAGAGUGGUAUGGCUAAGAGUAAAUACUAAGAGGAUUUUACGGUCUCGUAGUGGGUAAGGAAUUUCGGCCGGCUGGCCAGCCCACG